UAGACUGGGGCUUGUGUCUUAGCAUUUAGCUGUUAACUAAAAGGUUGUAGAGUAAAAUCUACCUGUCUAG
rnacentral:tRNA from 1 species